rnacentral:rRNA from 1 species
CAGUCGCCACGGGAAAACGAGGGGGGCAAGCGUUGUUCGGAAUUAUUGGGCGUAAAGGGUGCGUAGGCGGCUUGACAAGUCUUGUGUGAAAUCUAUGGGCUCAACCCAUAGUCUGCACGUGAAACUGUCGGGCUUGAGAAUGGGAGAGGUUAGUGGAAUUGCGAGUGUAGCAGUGAAAUGCGCAGAUAUGCGGAGGAACACCGAUGGCGAAGGCAAUCCCCUGGGCCUGCACUGACGCUCAUGCACGAAAGCGUGGGGAGCAAACAGGAUUAGAUACCCGUGUAGUCCCUGUCUCUUAUAA